rnacentral:lncRNA from 1 species
UACAGAUUAUGGUGCUUGUGAGAAACAUCAGUGUCUCGCUCAAGUUGAUAAGUUUGGAAGCAGAUGCCAACUUGGAUAUUUUUUCAAUCAUUUGGGAAACCUCAUAUUCCCGAAUAGGAGUAUAGGAUUGAACCCUUUUCAAGGUGAAGAGAUGAAGAACACAAAUCUUUCUCAUUUCUCUCCAAUAAUCAUUGUAUGGUGAAAAGGCCAAAUCUAGGCAGUUGUAAGAUAGCCUUUGAGGGCCAAUCAAGGAAGGCCUACUAGCAAAUUCAAGAUCAUGUGUUUUCAUGACCUCCUUUGCUAUUCUGGCGGAAGAAACCACUAUGGUGGGGAUGAAGCCGAGGCGCAAGGACAUGAGGGAUCCGUAUUGUUUAGAGAGUUGCCAUAAGUAGCGAUGACGGGCUGAGUUAUCCAUCUGGUGCAGGUUCCCAAUGAAGGGAAGCCCAGGAGGACCCGGUGGAAGGUGGAGUAGUCCUCCAUUUUUUCUGUGUUUUCGAUGAAGAAACAAGAGCAAGAGAGGAAAAGCUAGAAUGACAAAAAGCAACACUGUCAUGGUGUGAAGAUCUUCACUGCUAUGAGUUAGUGCUAUAUUGCUAUGUAAGGAAUGGGCAAAAGACGAAUCCUAUAUAAUAUAAUUCUGGACUGGGCUCUUGCCGUAUCGUACCAAUCUUAUUAAAUUUUAAUUAUUACAUAUUCCAAGAACUCAGUACGUGGAGAUAUAUUAUAUAUUGGCCUUAAUUGGAAGAGUACAUGUAACUUACCUAAUCCAUAAAAGGGAUAUAAGAUAUGAAAAUACUAAUAUAUCCUUUAAAUUUUUAUAUAUUACCACUAAUUGAUUUUAAGAUUAUAAAAUAAUGAUGAACCAAAAUAUUCAUUGACCAUUCAAAUAAACUUUUUUUAUCUUUAUUGCAUUACUAUUCAUGCAACCAUAAUAAUUCUAUUUUAACUAUUUGGAUUUCUAAUUAUUUUUUAAAACUUUUUUUUAUAAAUAAUUGAAAAAAUUAGCAUUAUUUUUUAUUUUAAAUUAUAAAUGAAGAAAAUUUAUGUUCAAAAACUAUUUUAAAAAAUACUUUCUAAAAAAAUGGUAAUAUGAUUUAUAUUUUUUAUAUUUUCUUUUUGAAAAAACAUUUAAUUAAAAAAUGAAAACUAUUUUUAAAAUUAAAAAUUAAAAACCUUAUUUAGUACUAUUUUUUAUAUGAAAAUAAUAAAAAUAAAUACAUUUCAUUAAUUAAUUAUCCAUUUUUAUUUUUCCAUUAGUUAUUUUAAUAUAAUAUAUAUAUAUAUAGCAUGUUUACAAUUAAACAAAGGAAUUUGGUCAAUUAUGUGUUUUUCGUGUGACUAUCUUUUACAUGAAAAAUAAUUAAAUAACUAAAUUAUAUAUAUUUAUUACUUUUUUUAAUUUUUUUUCUUUAUUUUUUUUUUGUCUAAUAGAAAAUUUUAAUAUAUCCAUAAUUAACAAAGUAAUAGAUCAAUUGUGCACAUUUUCAUCUAUUAAAAUAAAUUACUUUCUAAUUUAAAUAAAUAAAAUGAAAUAAGUAAAUAAAUUUGAGGUUAUUUGUAUUUUUUAACAUAUCUUAUAUUAAUAUUUUUACGGUUAAAUUAAUUUUUUUUAUUUUUUAUUUAAUUCCAAAAAUAAAAUGAAAUAAAUAAAUAAAUUUGGUAGUUUUUAACCAAUCUUAUAUUUAUAUUUCUUAUGGUUAAAUAAAUUUUUUAUUCUUUUUUCUUUAUUUCCAAAUAUAAAAGGAAAUAAAUAAAUAAAUUUGUCUUAAAUAAUAGUUUUUAAGUAAUUUCUUGUUUUAUUUUUAAUUAAAUUUUGCAUUGAAAAUAAAAUAAAAUAACGUUUUAUUUGUUUUGAUUAUUUUAAAAGUCAAACUAUUGGGAACAUAAUUUACAUACUCAUGUGAAUAUAAUUUAUGCAUAUGAAUGUGUGAAACCAAUGUUUGGUUAAUCUCAGUUUUAAUGAUAACAAAACAAGGUUUAGAACUAAUGAUUAUAUUUUUAAGUGUGAUUAGGCAAGACGAUUUUCAAAGUGGCAAUUACAAAGACAAAUUAAGCCAAUGAGAAAUCAUGAAAAAAAAGACCACCUCAAAGAGAAGUGUUUUUCAAGACCCAAGCUUCAUAAAGAUCUCUUUGUAAGGUUGUUGGUGCACUAGAAUUUUUAUGCAUUACAUUCUUUACUUAUGCACCAAAGUCAUCCAAGAGUUAUUUUGUUGUAAAUAUUUUAAAUUGGAUGAUUUCAUGUUUUCAACUAAAACCUUGUGUCAAAUGUUUUUCAAACUUGUUUAAAAGGUUUUAAGUUGAAAAAGUUGGUUGUUGAGCCAAAAACGACUCAACUGGUUGAACCAGAUGAGGAACCGGUCGACCCCCAACUUAACCGAUCUAGGAGCAGGUCGACCCCCAAUUCAAUCGGUCAAAGGUGUGAACAGUAACCGAUCGACCGCCAACUCAACUGGUCGAGGGGUGUAAAAAUCUUCUCUCUCUUCCAGAAUGGUUGUUCAACCAAAUGAGAAAUCAGUCAACCCACACCACAAUCGGUCGAGGUCCAACGGUCACCUGCUAAGCAUUAAAUGUUAACGGCUAGUCAACCGAUCGACGCUUAACUCGACUAGUCGAACCCUCAACGGCUAGUUUGACUUUUUUUUCUUCUAUGAAAAGACUCCAAAUCUUCAUUAUUUAUGAGCUCAACCUUCCCAAACCUUUUUUGAAUAUAUUUGAGCCAUGGAAAAGUGUUUUGAGUGCACCAUUAUUCUAAAACUUGCAUAUCAUUAGUGCACCUUUCAAUCCUAGUUUUCUUGUAUCAUUUGAGCUUAAAGAUUUUGUACUAGGAUUUUGUGAGAUUAAUUAUUUGUAUAUAUUUGAGAGUAAGAUUCUCAAGUGUGGGGUAUCUCUUAAGGAUUUUAAAGGGUGCUUAGAGCCAAAAGUCCAAGAUGGUAGAUUGGAACCAUAAUUCAAUUUUAUUACUUGAAUGUUUGGUUUAGAAGCCUUGAAUUAGUAGAACCUCAAGCUUAGGAUUGAAACUAGAGGAGAGUGGAUGUAGGUCGGGUUGCGUCGAACCACUAUAAAAUUUUGUAUUUGCAUUCUCUCUUCCCUACUCUUUUACUUUAUAUGCAAUUGUCUUUAUAUUGUUUUAUUAUAUACUUACAUAUAUUUGUCUCUUACAUUCACAUAGUUUAAAUUUUGCAAAAAAAAACCAUCACUCUAUUUACUCCCCCCUCUAGGGUGAUUACCAUAGGUUGAAUUAGCCUAAAUUUUCUAACAGUAUAAAAUGUAUACCAUUAUACAAGGCUAUUACACUAAUUGUACAAGGGGUGUACAAAACUGUACAUUUUGAACAACUUUUUUUUUCUUGUCAUCUAAGGAUUAUACACUCUCUUACCACAAAUUCUUUCAUUUCAUGUACUUUAUUUAACUUACAUAUGACAAUUCAAAUACUUACCCUAAUAAUGAUAUUUGAGGGAAAAUUUUGUUUUUACAUUUUAUAUCAUUUUCUAAAUUAAACCAAUGGAAACAUGAUUCAUACAUCAUAUGUGGACACAUAAUGUAUGCAUAUGGAUGAAAUUUAUAUCAUUGUACAAGGGUGUUAUAUUAACUGUGCAAGGUAAAUGUUCAAUUGGAUAAAAAAAAUGUUCUAACUAUACAAAACAAAUGUUCUAACUAUACAAGGGGUAUACAAAGCUAUCCUUUGUGAAAGAUUUCAAUCAAUUUUGGACAACUUUUUUUUUUUUUUUUUUUUGUCUUGUCAUCUAAGGAUUGCACACUUUCAAGGUACACAUUUCUCUAUCACACACUCAUCUUAUGCAUUUUAUUUAACUCACACAUGACAAUUUAAGUACUUAUCCUACUAAUGAUCUUUGAGAGAAAAUUUUGUUUUUUCAUCUUCCACUAUUUUUUGAACCAAACAAAUGAAAACGUGGUUAACCUACCUAUGGUUACACAUUGAGUAGGGGGUAUAUGGAAUUUGGGUCACUGUACAAGGUAUUUACACUAAGUGUACACGACAAAUAUACUAACUGUAGAAGGGUGUACAAGACUAUCAUUUGUGAAGAAUUUUAAGUGAUUCUGAAAAACUUAUUUGUUUAUUUCCCCUAACCAAGGAUAGAUGACAUUCCUUACAUACAUUGGUUAAGCAUACUGUGGACCCCGCAUUUCGGCUUAUGCAUUUCCCACUUGAUGGCGACCUCAAUUUUAAUUUGAAAAAUGAUUUUUAUUGAUUUAAGAAAAUAACUUGGAGUCGCCACUUAUUUUUGUUUUAUUUUUAAAAGGGUAAACAAAAUAAGAAAGAAAACCCUAAGUGCGACUCCUUAUUUUGGAAAAGGUGAUCUACGAGAAAUCGGAUCGGGCUCGGGGGUCAGGUUACUUAUCGGGAAGGUACGAUAAAAGACCAUAGCACCCUUCUAAGUCCCUAAAAUCGGGUCUCUACUAACAAAAUGAAGCUGACGUGGCAAUUUACGAGUAAAUCAGUGAAUAUCCUGAAUGAUCAUGCACACAUAAGAGUCAAGACAUGCAUAGACAACGAUUAGAGGGAAAAUGGGUACAUACCUGGGCAACAAACUGUCAUGCGCUAUCAAUAGAGAGGGUUAGUACACUAUAUAGAGCACAAAACAUACCACAUGCAUCACUAAGCAGGGAUUAAAAUUGUUCGAAGGAAAGCUGGAUUUUUUAAAUUCAUUUGAGAAUCGGAAUGUUAGAUAUUAUUUGAAAAUUGGAUUCUUAGGAAUUAAAUGUAAGAAAUGAGAACUUUUAGAAAUUAAAUUUGAAAGAAAAUUGGGAUUUUGAAGAAUUAUUUGAAAGUUCGGGAUUUUUAAGAAAAAUUAAGUUACGAAAAUUGGGAUUAUGGGAGUUAAAUUUCGAAAGGGAUCAGAAUCAUAAGUUUUUUUUUUUUGAGGCGUAGAAAUUAUGAAAGUUGAUGUGUAAAAAUUGGAAAUCUUAGAAAUCAUUCGAAGGCAGAAUUUAUAGAAAUAAUGAACAAUAUGAUAAUGAUAAUGAUAAUAAUAAGUAGCGGGGUAAAUACGGGAAUUGGAGCAUGGGAAACUGGAAAUUAAGUUCGGAGAUAGGACAAUUGGAAUUUCAGAUAGCUAAAUUUAGGAAUCAGAAUUUUGAAGAAUUAGACUCUAAUGAUUGAAAUUUUUAAGAGAAAUAAAUGGGUAAGUAUGGAGUAAUGUUACGGAUUAAUCAAAACGAUAUUUGGGCGGAUGAAUAGUGAAUAGUGGGAUUUUGAAAAUUAAAUUUUGAAAGUCGGGCCUUUGAAUAAUUAACUCUAAUUAUUGGAAUUUUUAGAAGAAAGAAGCAAGUAGACAUGGAAUUUAUAAUAAUGAUAACAAAGAUGAUAUUUAAAUGAAUAAAAGUGAAUGGUGGAAUUUUUUUUAGUCUGAAGGUUAAAUUUGGAAAUCCGGUUUUGAAGAGUUGAAUUUUAAUGAUUGAAAUAAAUAAAUGAACGAAUAUGGAAUAACGAUACUUAUUAACAAAAAUAAUGCUCAAACGAAUAAAAUAGUGGGAUUUUUCUAAUUGGAAAUUUGAAUUAGGGCGUUGGAUUUUUAAAGGAUAUGACUUUGAAUAAAUAGGUAAGUAUGAGAUUAUAAUACUAAUUAACGAAAAUAAUAUUUAGACGAAUAAAGAUGGAUAGUAGAAUUUUUGGGAUUGAAGUUUUAAUUAAGGCAUGGGGUUUUCGGAAGAUUGGACUUUGAAUAGAUGUGGAAAUAAUGAUUCUAAUUGAUGAGGAUAAAAUUUAGACGAACUGUAGAAUUUUUAGGAUUGAGAAAUUGAGUUAAGACAAGAGAUUUUUGGAGAACUAGGUUUUAAAUAAAUAGACGAAUACGAGAUAAUAAUCCUAAUUGAUGAAAAUAAGAUUUAAACGAAUUACUGAUAAACUAAAUUAAGACAGGGGAUUUUUGAAGGAUUAGAUUUUAAAUAACUAAAUAAACAUGGGAUAAUAAUUCGAUUUAUGAAAAUAUGAUUUAAACAAGUAUUUGAAGAAUUAAAUUAAAAACAUGGGAUUUUUGAAGGGGUAGGCUAGAUAAAUAAAUGAAUGUAUAAGAUAAUAAUUCCCAUUGAUGGACAUAAGAUUUAAACGAGUAUUUGAAGAAUUAAAUUACAGAAGUAGAGGAAAAAUGGACUAAGCCCAUGGUCUAAUAACCAAGGAGAUGUCACUAUGAUAGCCUUCAUCGUCUGAAUUUCAAUAUGAAAAUGAUGCAAUUAACAUUAUAUAAAAUUGAGUACCGUCAUCAAUACCAUAAAAUAUUAGGUCAUAUUAUUGGAUCCAAAUAAGAAAAUCGUAGGAUUAAGAGUACAUUAUUCUCAGAUAACUUUUACAGGAACAUACACUAGAUGUCCAUUAAUUAUAUUUCUUAGCCAUAAGGCAAAGAGCAUUCUUCUUGUGCAUUGUAAGACCAGGUAUGACAUCAAAGUCAAUGUCUUCCUUGUUCAUUCCAGCAGGCAUUUCCCAGUCAAAUGAGUAAAGAAGAUUAGCUAGUGUGAGCUCCACUGUCACAGCUCCGAUAUGUAUUGCUGGGCAAACUCUUCGGCCUGCUCCGAACGGUAUCAGCUUAUAAUUUUGUCCUCUGAAGUCCACGGAAGAACCCAAGAAUCUCUCCGGUAUGAACUCUUCUGGGUUUUCCCAGGCCUCCGGAUCUCUUCCAAUGGCCCACGCAUUCACAAAUACUAGGGUUUUGGGUGGUAUCUCAUACCCAUCUAUACUGCACUUCUGAAGUGUUUCUCUUGGAAGCAGCAAUGGAGCUGCAGGAAGCAGCCUCAUCGUCUCCUUCACUACUGCCUUGAGAUAAGGGAGCUUCUCAACAUCAUCUUCCCCUAUAAAUCCCUUCUUUCCAAAUGUAUUUCUCACUUCUUCUUGGGCUUUCUUCAUCACUCUGGGAUUCUUCAUUAAUGCUGUCAUCGCCCAAAUCACGGUGGCUGUGCCUGCAUCUGUUCCUCCUACAAAUAUAUUCUGCAAAGAAAAUUAAUAUUCAAGUUAAAAAAGAUUAAUAAUAUUCAAGUUAGUGAAAGAUUGAUUGAUUACCAUGAGCACUCCUUUAAUGUGAUCCCAAGUGAUAUCAAUGGCAAACGAGUUGUCCUUCUGCAGUUCAAUUAAGACGUCAGUGAUGUCCUCUUGUUCUUGUUUUUUUCUGUCUGGUUUCAGAUGAUCUUCGAUAAUUUCCUGGUAGAACAAAUCCAUAUCCCUGAGAGUUUUCUCGAGCCGAGCAGUCAGGCCGGUGAGUUUAUCGAGCCAACCCAUCAAAGGAAAAUGAUCCGAGAAAAAGAAGCUUCCCAACAUAGCCUGAGCAUCAUUUAGAAGUCCAUGAAAUCUACUUGUUUCACAUCCUUCAUCCUCGUACCUCUUGCCGAAAGAAACCCUACAGAUUAUGGUGAUUGUGAGAAACAUCACUGUCUCGCUCAAGUUGAUAAGUUUGGAAGCAGAUGCCAACUUGGAGAUUUUUUCAAUCAUUUGCGAAACCUCAUAUUCCCGAAUAGGAGUAUAGGAUUGAACCCUUUUCAAGGUGAAGAGAUGAAGAACACAAAUCUUUCUCAUUUCUCUCCAAUAAUCGUUGUAUGGUGAAAAGGCCAAAUCUAGGCAGUUGUAAGAUAGCCUUCGAGGGCCAAUCAAGGAAGGCCUACUAGCAAAUUUAAGAUCAUGUGUUUU